CCUACGGGGGGCAGCAGUGAGGGAUAUUGGUCAAUGGGGGAAACCCUGAACCAGCAACGCCGCGUGAGGGAAGACGGUUCUCGGAUUGUAAACCUCUGUCCGCUGUGAAGAUAAUGACGGUACCUGAGGAGGAAGCCCCGGCUAACUACGUGCCAGCAGCCGCGGUAAUACGUAGGGAGCAAGCGUUGUCCGGAUUUACUGGGUGUAAAGGGUGCGUAGGCGGCCUUGCAAGUCAGGAGUGAAAUCCAUGGGCUUAACCCGUGGACUGCUUUUGAAACUGUGGGGCUUGAGUGAAGUAGAGGCAGGCGGAAUUCCCGGUGUAGCGGUGAAAUGCGUAGAGAUCGGGAGGAACACCGGUGGCGAAGGCGGCCUGCUGGGCUUUAACUGACGCUGAGGCACGAAAGCGUGGGGAGCAAACAGGAUUAGAUACCCGUGUAGUC
rnacentral:rRNA from 1 species